UGGUUACCAGUGAACACAGAACAGCAUCAUGGGAUCAUUAGGGUCCCUUCCAACCCCAGCCAUUCUAUGGCUCUGUGAUGUCUGGGACCACUCCUUUGUUUGACACCAAGUGCUCCAAGCUGAGAGCCCUCAGGACUUUUGAAGGAGUCACUCCAUUCCCAGUGGGAUGCAGAUGUCCAGUGCCAAGUGGACAGGUCAGAGUCUGCCCGUGUGUGGCUGCAGCGGGUCCUGUGCUCAUGCACCUGAUCGAGGAUUAUUACAGGUGACAGCAGAUUUGCAUGGAGGUGCAGCAUGUGGCCACCAUCCCACAUCUGGGCUCAGCAUCUGGGCUCACUCUGCCUGGGUUUUGUUUAUUUCUACAAAACCUCAGAGAUCUGGUUGUGCUCCUGACAGGAAUUUGGGUUUGCUUAAGAGGUGCAGGUGCCUGGCUCCCAACCAGCAGAGCUUUCUGGUCUUUCAGCUCUGGCUCUCUCUUCCCACUUCCCACCCUCCUGUCCCUUCACCUGUUUUAUUCUUGCUCUCUCCACACAAAAUCAUGUCUUCUCCAACCUGUACCAGUCCCUUUUUCCCAGGCUGUGAAGGGUUGACCAGAGAGAAGAUGCCAACAAGUUCAUUUAGGGCAGGAGACCUAUCCCACACAUGUUUUAUUUUAUUUUAUUUUAUUUUAUUUUGGGGCAUGGGGGACAAAGUACCAACCUCCACAUCCCACCCCACCAUCCCCAGCACAGGGAAUGCCUGAGCCUUAGGGUUUCCCUUCUGGAGGGACUGGCCAGGCCCUUGCCCAGCUGGCAGUGGCUGGAGCUGAGUCCCUGUCCCUUCCCAGGAGCAUCCAUGGCUCCUGCAUGUGUUAAUCAGCAGCUUUGUUCUGCAUCACCUCACCGUCUAAUAGCAGCAGGAAUUUAUACAUCCACAAAUGAGCAAUCAGCACAGACACGUCCUGGUGCCCUCCCUGGAAGGGGACAGGGAUAUGGAUGCUGGGGACACUCAGCUUGCCACGGCCUCUCCACCCUGCCAGCUGGGCUGUGCCGCCACCACUAACAAGUUGCUUCCUGCUGCCAAGGAUAACAGAGCCACUGGCACCCAACCCUGCACUCUGCUCUUGGCUGCCUCGGGAACCCCAGUCAGGCAGGAUGGGCUUUUUUUUUGCACUUGUCAUUUCUCAAGGAGGGAGGAACAUCUCUCCCAGCUGCUUCGGCUGAAAUCCAGUUUUUAUGUAAUCAAAUGUGACCUCUAGCUGUCUGUG